rnacentral:pre_miRNA from 36 species
UGAGCUGUUGGAUUCGGGGCCGUAACACUGUCUGAGAGGUUUACAUUUCUCACAGUGAACCGGUCUCUUUUUCAGCUGCUUC